GAUGAAGAACGCAGUGAAAUGCGAUAAGUAAUGUGAAUUGCAGAAUUCAGUGAAUCAUCGAAUCUUUGAACGCACCUUGCGCUCCUUGGUAUUCCGAGGAGCAUGCCUGUUUGAGUGUCAUUAAUAUAUCAACCUUCUCUUUUUUGAGUUGUUUGGAUGUGGGGGUUUGCUGGCCUCUUAAAUGAUUCAGCUCCCCUGAAAUGCAUUAGCAGAACAACCUGUUCAUUGGCGUGAUAAUUAUCUAUGCUAUUGAAUGUGAGGGCAGUUCAGCUUUCUAACCGUCCUUGGACAAUUCAUCAUUAAUGUGACCUCAAAUCAGGUAGGACUACCCGCUGAACUUAAGCAUAUCAAUAAGCGGAGGA
rnacentral:misc_RNA from 1 species